rfam:Haemonchus contortus, ISE/inbred ISE, WGS project CAVP01000000 data, contig: Hcontortus_2520
GGCCCAAAUUUGAAGUACAGUAGAUUAGUAGGGUCAGCUGAUACGACUGAUUUACUCUACUUCAAAUUUGGGCCC